CACUAUGCUUAGCCCUAAACAUCGAUCGUUUACUACAUCAAACAUCCGCCUGGGAAUUACGAACACUAGUUUAAAACCCAAAGGACUUGGCGGUGCUUAACAUCCACCUAGAGGAGCCUGUUCUAGAACCGAUAAUCCCCGUUCAACCUCACCCCCCCUAGCUUUUUCCGCCUAUAUACCACCGUCGCCAGCUUACCCUGUGAAGGGCUAAUAGUAAGCAUAAUCGGCACAGCCCAAAACGUCAGGUCGAGGUGUAGUGCAUGGGAGGGGAAGAAAUGGGCUACAUUCGCUGCCUUACAGCGAACACGAAUGAUGCAUUGAAACAUGCAACUGAAGGAGGAUUUAGCAGUAAGCAGAAAGUAGAGUGUUCCGCUGAAGCCGGCUCUUAAGCGCGCACACACCGCCCGUCACCCUCCCCAAGCAACUGGACCCGAACUUUUCCUAAGCCCAAACAACCGCAAAGGAGAGGAAAGUCGUAA
rnacentral:rRNA from 1 species